CUCUCGUCUAAGUCGCUCCGUAACAGCAUGAUUGUUUCCUAUUUAUUUACACACUUGUAUCAUCAAACUUUUAAACAAAUGCAAUAUCACACUCGUAGUCAUGCGACAUCACUCUAUAUCAGCACGGCAGCGAUUCAGCUGUGGAUGCCUUAUUAUUGAUGAUAAUAGUUAAAAGGUAACUGUAAUUUCAACAGUAAUACUAAUUUGCAACAUUAGCAAUAUUUUUGACUGUCAAUUAAAUGCUAUUUCCAAGAAGUAUCAACAUAUAUUACAUAAUCAUUUUUUUAAAUUUUGAACAUAUAUAAAGGAAUAACUGAGAAUGGGCCACUAACUACAUUUCUGAAAAAUUAUUUUUCAAUAAUUCAAAGGAAUGCAUACAUUUAUUCCACUUACAUCACAUUUACCACACCACAAGACAUUAUUCAUAUGUUUUAUUUCAAGACAUUUGUCAGGUUAUUGUUCCAAUGGCUCUCUUGUGUGUAGAACUAAUUUCUUCUGCUUUGUAUCCCAAGGCUUCAUUGCUAAUUCCAAAAAUGGCAUUUUAGAGCGAGUAUACAGUAUGAAGACAAAUGCAGUUAUCAGAGAGAGAGAGAGAGAUAGUGUGUGUGUGUGUGUGUGUGUGUGUGUGUGUGUGUGUGUGUGUGUGUGUGAAUUACCUGCAUCUGUGCGUCUCUCAACAGUGUCCGACAGCAGCGUCUCUACUAAUAGUGAAAGUGUAAGUUUAUCUGCUUCAAAAACAGCCCUGUUUUUACCUCGCUACUGAGAAAUGUCUUGUAGUUUUUUGGUUGUGAGCUAUUUUUUGAGAACGUCAACUCCAUGUGUGCGAGUGUUUGUCUGUACAGUAUGUAUGUGUGGGAAAGCAGAAUAAAAAAAAAAAAUGCUUUUAUGUAGAUGAUAAUGAAUGUAAUUCAGUGGGAUUUUUUUUCUCCUAUUAGUCAUUUUUUAGCUUGUUCAGUCUCUUUUUGGGUUUUGGUUCAAUUGCUGUUGUGAGGACUCUGAAAUAACUUAAAUAAUUUGAAUUGAUGUGGAUCUGUAAUGUGGGCGUCAGAUCUUCUUCAAAGCUGUAUGUUUACAUAAAAAAUAAUUGCAUACCACAGAACAAUAGAAAUUAUAAUAAAUAUGUUCUAUAGCUGAAAAGAGACAUUGUAUUACAACUCUUCAGCACAAUUGUUUUAAUAAUGACAUAAGAUAUUUUGGUAGACAUAUGAUGUUGACAUCUGAUUCACAGAAAUGAUAUCUGUAGAUGAACAGACAUGAUCUCACCAGGACAGGGUUUGAGUCUAAUGGUCUUCUGUGUGUGACUGACGUGGUUCUUCACGCUGCAGCUGAUGUCUCCAUCAGUUCUCUCAUCCAGAUCAAUGCUGCUGUUUCCAUCCAUCAGUGGAUCUCCAUUCAGAGUCCAGCUGUGGAGGAGAUGAUCCCCCUCAGAGGAGCAGAACACCCUCAUCCCCCCACUGGAGGAGCAGAUGAUUGACACUUCCACUGAGC
ensembl:lncRNA